GAUGAACGCUGGCGGCGUGCCUAAUACAUGCAAGUAGAACGCUCAAGCUUGGAGCUUGCACCGCGCGCAUGAGCUGCGAACGGGUGAGUAACGCGUAGGUAACCUGCCUAUUAGCGGGGGAUAACUACUGGAAACGAUAGCUAAUACCGCAUAAUAUAUGAUAUCGCAUGAUUUUGUUGUGAAAGGCGCAUUUGCAUCAACAAAUGAUGGACUUGCGUUGUCUUUGCUAGUUGGUUAAGUAACGGCUCAACAAAGCGAAGAUACCUUGCCGACCUGGGAGGGGGAUCGGCCACACUGGGACUGAGACACGGCCCAGAAUUCUACCGGAGGCAGCAGUAGGGAAUCUUCGGGAAUGGGGGCAACCCUGGCCGGGGAACGCCGCGGGAGGGAAGAAGGGUUUCGGGUUGUAAAACUCUGUUGUAAGGGAAGAACGAGUGUUGGAGUGGAAAGUUCACACUGUGACGGUAACUAACCAGAAAGGGACGGCUAACUACGUG
rnacentral:rRNA from 1 species